rnacentral:rRNA from 1 species
UACGUAGGGGGCGAGCGUUGUCCGGAUUUAUUGGGCGUAAAGAGCGUGUAGGCGGCCAGGUAGGUCCGUUGUGAAAACUCGAGGCUCAACCUCGAGACGUCGAUGGAAACCAUCUGGCUAGAGUCCGGAAGAGGAGAGUGGAAUUCCUGGUGUAGCGGUGAAAUGCGCAGAUAUCAGGAAGAACACCUAUGGCGAAGGCAGCUCUCUGGGACGGUACUGACGCUGAGGCGCGAGAGCGUGGGGAGCAAACCGG